rnacentral:rRNA from 1 species
UGCAGUCGAGCGGUAGAGAGAAGCUUGCUUCUCUUGAGAGCGGCGGACGGGUGAGUAAUGCCUAGGAAUCUGCCUGGUAGUGGGGGAUAACGUUCGGAAACGGACGCUAAUACCGCAUACGUCCUACGGGAGAAAGCAGGGGACCUUCGGGCCUUGCGCUAUCAGAUGAGCCUAGGUCGGAUUAGCUAGUUGGUGAGGUAAUGGCUCACCAAGGCGACGAUCCGUAACUGGUCUGAGAGGAUGAUCAGUCACACUGGAACUGAGACACGGUCCAGACUCCUACGGGAGGCAGCAGUGGGGAAUAUUGGACAAUGGGCGAAAGCCUGAUCCAGCCAUGCCGCGUGUGUGAAGAAGGUCUUCGGAUUGUAAAGCACUUUAAGUUGGGAGGAAGGGUUGUAGAUUAAUACUCUGCAAUUUUGACGUUACCGACAGAAUAAGCACCGGCUAACUCUGUGCCAGCAGCCGCGGUAAUACAGAGGGUGCAAGCGUUAAUCGGAAUUACUGGGCGUAAAGCGCGCGUAGGUGGUUUGUUAAGUUGGAUGUGAAAUCCCCGGGCUCAACCUGGGAACUGCAUUCAAAACUGACUGACUAGAGUAUGGUAGAGGGUGGUGGAAUUUCCUGUGUAGCGGUGAAAUGCGUAGAUAUAGGAAGGAACACCAGUGGCGAAGGCGACCACCUGGACUAAUACUGACACUGAGGUGCGAAAGCGUGGGGAGCAAACAGGAUUAGAUACCCUGGUAGUCCACGCCGUAAACGAUGUCAACUAGCCGUUGGAAGCCUUGAGCUUUUAGUGGCGCAGCUAACGCAUUAAGUUGACCGCCUGGGGAGUACGGCCGCAAGGUUAAAACUCAAAUGAAUUGACGGGGGCCCGCACAAGCGGUGGAGCAUGKGGUUUAAUUCGAAGCAACGCGAAGAACCUUACCAGGCCUUGACAUCCAAUGAACUUUCUAGAGAUAGAUUGG